CAAACACUGACCAACAUGGCAUCCUGUGGGGCCCCUCGCAAUCUAAAGUGGUUGCUAUGAGACCUGCUCCCUAUGAGUCCAUUCUUGAAAUGAGGACUUAAUGGACCACUCCAAGAGGAAGCCAGAAGCAGAAGUGAAGAGUUGCCUGAUGUCACUGUUGCCUCAUGAGCGACUGGUCCCAUCAGGCUUGGUAACAAACAGCUUUACCUACUGAGGCAUCCCUGGCCCAAGCUGUCAUUUUCAUGGACACUAGGCCUGGCCUUUCAAACUCUGAAGCCAAUAUAUGGUCACUGGAAAUGAAUUCUUCUGAGACCCAAAACUACAAGAAAAUCUCUUGGGAAUUUCUGGUUCAUCUUCAUGGGAAGGAAAAAAGACAGACUCAAGCCAAGGAAGAAGAUGGCUCCAGGGAAGGCCAGACCUGUGACCUCGGCCUUUUAAAGGAAACUCCAGAGAAGUGGAGCCAUAGAUCUGUUCCAAGCUGAGAAGCUUCCCCUCCACCCCCAUCUCAAUCAGGCCAGCAGCUUCCAGCACCACCUGCUGGAGAUGGAGUGUUAAAACACACAAGCCUGUGGAUCAGACCUCCGUGACCGGGGACCAGCCAGCUACCAGCUAGCGCCCACCGUGUUGCACGCACACCAGUCAUCUCAGCCCGUCAUGCUCUCCCCUCCACCUUUUCAUGUGCAGUGGAUCAUCAAAACCCCUUUCAUUGUCUCUUUCCCAGAUACAGAGUCUGGGUGGAAAAUGGCAAUAUUCAGAGGGCUCCUCUGGACCACCUUGGAAUCAUACCUCUAAGGAAAUAAUAAAAGCAGA
rnacentral:lncRNA from 1 species